rnacentral:rRNA from 1 species
CGGCGUGGAUAAGACAUGCAAGUCGAACGAGAUUUUUCAUUGUAGCAAUACGAUGGAAAAUUUAGUGGCGAACGGGUGCUUAACACGUGGGCAACCUGCCAAGAAGUGGGGGAUAGCUCGCCGAAAGGCGAAUUAAUACCGCAUGUGAUUAGAGAGGACAUCUUUUCAAAAUUAAAGUCGGGGCAACCUGACGCUUCUUGUGGGGCCCGCGGCCUAUCAGCUAGUUGGUGAGGUAACGGCUCACCAAGGCUUUGACGGGUAGCUGGUCUGAGAGGACGACCAGCCACACUGGGACUGAGACACGGCCCAGACACCUACGGGUGGCAGCAGUCGAGAAUUUUUGACAAUGGGGGAAACCCUGAUCGAGCGACGCCGCGUGGAGGACGAAGGUCUUCGGAUUGUAAACUCCUGUCAUUGGGGAACAAGGUGCAUACGUUAACUGCGUGUGCAUUGAUAGUACCCGAAGAGGAAGAGACGGCUAACUCUGUGCCAGCAGCCGCGGUAAUACAGAGGUCUCAAGCGUUGUUCGGAUUCAUUGGGCGUAAAGGGUGCGUAGGCGGCGCGGUAAGUCGGGUGUGAAAUCUCGGAGCUUAACUCCGAAACUGCAUUCGAUACUGCCGUGCUUGAGGACUGGAGAGGAGACUGGAAUUUACGGUGUAGCGGUGAAAUGCGUAGAUAUCGUAAGGAAGACCAGUGGCGAAGGCGGGUCUCUGGACAGUUCCUGACGCUGAGGCACGAAGGUCAGGGGAGCAAACGGGAUUAGAUACCCCGGUAGUCCUGACAGUAAACGGUGCACGUUUGGUGUGGGAGGAUUCGACCCCUUCUGCGCCGGAGCUAACGCGUUAAAUGUGCCGCCUG